rnacentral:rRNA from 1 species
AAUCAACGCUGGCGGCGCGCUUAACACAUGCAAGUCGAGCGAGAAAGGGGAGCAAUCCCUGAGUACAGCGGCGUACGGGUGAGUAACACGUGGGUAAUCUACCUUUUAGUGGGGAAUAACCCUGGGAAACCGGGCUAAUACCGCAUAAUCCUGUGAAGGGAAAGCAGCAAUGCGCUGAAUGAGGAGCCCGCGGCCGAUUAGCUAGUUGGUGAGGUAACGGCCCACCAAGGCGAUGAUCGGUAGCCGGCCUGAGAGGGCACACGGCCACACUGGCACUGAAACACGGGCCAGACUCCUACGGGAGGCAGCAGUGGGGAAUCUUGCACAAUGGAGGCAACUCUGAUGCAGCGACGCCGCGUGAGCGAUGAAGCCCC